GACGUAGGGCGCGAGCGUUGUCCGGAUUUAUUGGGCGUAAAGAGCUCGUAGGCGGUCUGUCACGUCGGCUGUGAAAUCCCGAGGCUCAACCUCGGGUCUGCAGUCGAUACGGGCAAACUAGAGUAUUGCAGGGGAGACUGGAAUUCCUGGUGUAGCGGUGAAAUGCGCAGAUAUCAGGAGGAACACCGGUGGCGAAGGCGGGUCUCUGGGACGGUACUGACGCUGAGACGCGAAAGCGUGGGGAGCGAACAGG
rnacentral:rRNA from 1 species